CUCUCCUCUCCAUUUUCUCCGCCGCCAGCGCCCAAGGCCGAACGCGCCGCCGCGGCGGCCUCCCUCCCCGCGCCGGCCUAUUCCAAGCGCCGCCGGUCGAUCUCCACGGCGGCCUCCUCGAGCUCUGCGCUCGCCGUCGACUCUGCCGAGGGCGCGCAGCGAGCAGACCUCGCGGGAGCCAUGCCGCCGCCCGCACGAUCGUCGCGCUGCCGCCGCCCUUCACGGACCGCUGCGCCACGACCGCGCGAAGCUCCAGCGCCUCCUGUCCGCGGGGGCCAGCGCCGCGGACGCUCGCCUCUGCGGGUCCUUCCCCUGCUCCUUCCUCCCUCCGCCGCCCCCGCCCAGCAAGCUGCGUAGCCACCUCGCCGCCUUGCGGUAACUGAAGGAAGGAAAGGGGUGAGCCAUGGCGCACGCAGGGCGGCGGCCUCGCGGCGCACGGCGCCGGCUCCCCUUCUCCCUCCCGGAUCUGCGCGCGGUGGCGGCCAUGGCGCGGUGCGCGGCGGCCUCGCGGCUCGUGGCACGCGGCGCCGCCUCUACCUCCGCGCCUCCUCGCCGGCCGAUCCUCCUCUCCGGCGGCGAGCAGGAGCCCGCCCGUGGCGGCCGCGAAGGCGGAGGCCCGCGCGGCCCUGCUCCUCCCUCGCGGCGAUCCGCACUCCGCGCCUCCCUUCGACCCGCCGGCCCACGCGCACCUUCGCGCUGCUCACUGCCUGCCUCGUCUUCCCGCUCUUCUUCGCUCCAGGGGCUCCGGCAUCGCCGCCACGCUCGUCGUCUCCUACUUCGCGGUCUGUGGCGUCACCUCGUUGCUCUUCCAUGCCGCCGUCGUCAAGGGGCGCGGCGAGGAGGACAGGAGGGGAGCUUCGGCCUGGCCUUGCCCGGGCGGCUGCUCGUCGGUGCCAUGCUCGUGUGCGUCCUUCAGGUGCGGCGGGGACGCAUCGGCGGUGGGGACACAACAGCGGCGCGCCGGCGGCAGGAGUGCGGCGGGGACACAGCGGCGGUGGUGCGGGCAUGGCGGCACCCGCACGCGACAGCAGGCGGGCCCUGCGCCAUGGUGGCCAGUAGCGCAGGUCCGGUACCCCGGUAGAUUUGGCGAAGACGGAAAGGUAGCGGGACCUUUACCGUAUGCCGCUGCAGCGAAUUUAGUACUGGAGGGAGCGGCAGCGGCUCCCUCCCAGCACCCGGUGUGGACAGCCUCAGCCGGUUUAUUAUAUGCACGGUAAUGGCAUGUGCGCCGGGUAUAUGGACGGCGUUCGGUGACGCCCGCGAGAUCAGUAGUAAUCUCGAGAUUCGUAAACCGACUGUUGUUUUGUUUUUAUUAUUAAGUUCAUACUCCAUCAAAACGUGAAAUAUCAAGACAUACGGGCCUGCAGAAAUAAUAAAAUAAGAAAUGUUGAAGAGGAGAAGACCAGUGCCGUGCUCCUCUUCUUCUUGUCGCCGCAGUAGGCCGGCGAUUGCGGAUGCCCGAUGCCGCCGCCCAUCUCCACUCCACCCCUUCCACCGCUCCCCAUCCAACCGGCGGUCUCCGCUCCUCCCCGCCGCAGCAAGCUGGCGGGUGCUGCCCCUGCCCGCCAGGUCUCCUUGCCGGAUCCGAGGUGCCCCAGCCCGGAUCCAAUCAGGUGGGUCCCACCGUCGCUUGCCCCGGGAGGACAUGCCUCGCUCGUCCCUCAUCCCGCGUCUAGGAGUGAGGGGAGGGGCCUCGGGACGUCCCGCCGGAGGAUGGCGACGGUGGACGCCGCGGGCAGCUGCGCUACCUGCAGGUGGGUCUUGACCACCACGGCCGGUUGGCAUGAGCUACGGCGAGCUUCACUGCUGCGGCGGCGUUGAUUUCCCAAAGCAAGGGGCAGUGCGGCAGGGGCAUGUUGCAACUUGCAACUUGCAAGAAGCCAGCAUCCACAUCCCAGAUGCUCGCUAGGGCGUGGGCGCGCUGGUCCACUGGAGCAACGCGCGCUCCGCGACGGCGUGCCGUUCCUCCGCGUGUGUCUUGCGCUAUCUUGCGCGACGGCAAGGCCGAGCACAGGCUUCCUGACAGUGACAAGAGAUAAGUGAACAUAGUAGCAGCCAGCGACCAUCCGUCAACACUCAGCAAUACCCUCCUGUAUUUCUCUCGUACGUUUUAUAGCUCUCUACCCACAAGCCCAACUGAGGUUAUAGAACAUCAAUGCACUACUGUGCAGAGUAAAUCUUUGAUUCCGUUCUUGAUUUUGUUCAGUUGAUUUAUGGUUGCCAAAUUCAUCUGUCAACGUCUCAAAAAUUUCGUUGGUGAACAAAUACUUAGAUUAAUUAUUGGAUGCAAAAAAACAGGUGCAUCCUGUUUGGAUGAUCAAA